rnacentral:rRNA from 1 species
CACGUAGGGCGCAAGCGUUGUCCGGAAUUAUUGGGCGUAAAGAGCUCGUAGGCGGUCUGUUGCGUCUGCUGUGAAAACUCGGGGCUUAACCCCGAGCCUGCAGUGGAUACGGGCAGACUAGAGGUAGGUAGGGGAGAAUGGAAUUCCCGGUGUAGCGGUGAAAUGCGUAGAUAUCGUAAGGAAGACCAGUGGCGAAGGCGGGUCUCUGGACAGUUCCUGACGCUGAGGCACGAAGGCCAGGGGAGCAAACGGG